rnacentral:rRNA from 1 species
ACACGUGGGUAACCUACCUAUAAGACUGGAAUAACUCCGGGAAACCGGGGCUAAUGCCGGAUAACAUGUUGAACCGCAUGGUUCUACAGUGAAAGACGGUCUUGCUGUCACUUAUAGAUGGACCCGCGCCGUAUUAGCUAGUUGGUGGGGUAACGGCCUACCAAGGCGACGAUACGUAGCCGACCUGAGAGGGUGAUCGGCCACACUGGAACUGAGACACGGUCCAGACUCCUACGGGAGGCAGCAGUAGGGAAUCUUCCGCAAUGGGCGAAAGCCUGACGGAGCAACGCCGCGUGAGUGAUGAAGGUCUUCGGAUCGUAAAGCUCUGUUGUUAGGGAAGAACAAAUGUGUAAGUAACUGUGCACAUCUUGACGGUACCUAACCAGAAAGCCACGGCUAACUACGUGCCAGCAGCCGCGGUAAUACGUAGGUGGCAAGCGUUAUCCGGAAUUAUUGGGCGUAAAGCGCGCGUAGGCGGUUUUUUAAGUCUGAUGUGAAAGCCCACGGCUCAACCGUGGAGGGUCAUUGGAAACUGGAAAACUUGAGUGCAGAAGAGGAAAGUGGAAUUCCAUGUGUAGCGGUGAAAUGCGCAGAGAUAUGGAGGAACACCAGUGGCGAAGGCGGCUUUCUGGUCUGCAACUGACGCUGAUGUGCGAAAGCGUGGGGAUCAAACAGGAUUAGAUACCCUGGUAGUCCACGCCGUAAACGAUGAGUGCUAAGUGUUAGG